rfam:Picoides pubescens contig64138, whole genome shotgun sequence.
GCAUGGACGAAUUCUGCACUAGCUUUCCUCAGUAGCUAAUGCAGUCAGACACUAUGCCAGAGCAAGCUCCUUUUUCACACUGGUUGGCAUGCUGCUGAUGUGAGAGGGGGCAUGCCUUUGGAAGAGGGGUACAGAA